rnacentral:rRNA from 1 species
AUUGAACGCUGGCGGCAUGCUUUACACAUGCAAGUCGAACGGUAACAGGUUAAGCUGACGAGUGGCGAACGGGUGAGUAAUGCAUCGGAACGUGCCCGGUCGUGGGGGAUAACGCAGCGAAAGCUGCGCUAAUACCGCAUACGAUCUAAGGAUGAAAGCGGGGGACCGUAAGGCCUCGCGCGAUCGGAGCGGCCGAUGUCAGAUUAGGUAGUUGGUGGGGUAAAGGCUCACCAAGCCAACGGUCUGUAGCUGGUCUGAGAGGACGACCAGCCACACUGUGACUGAGAACCGGCCCAGACUCCUACGGGCGGCAGCGGUGGGGAAUUGUGGACAAUGGUCGAAAGCCUGAUCCAGCAAUGCCGCGUGCAGGAAGAAGGCCUUCGGGUUGUAAACUGCUCUUGUACGGAGCGAAAAGGUCUCCUCUAAUACAGGGGGCUCAUGACGGUACCGUAAGAAUAAGCACUGACUAACUACGUGCCAGCAGCCGCGGUAA